UAAUUAAUAAAUGCAUUUAAGAACAACUUUUAAAUAAUAAUAACCUUCAAUGAUCUUUAAGCUUACAGUAGAGGUUGUAACAAUAGGAACUAUAGGUAGGAACCAUUGUUUAGUUCCGUGAGUCACACGGACUGUUAUUGGAGAAACACUGUCUUGUAACCGAACCGAGCAAGAUGGACCGUACACGCGACGUGGAAGUUUAUUAAAGUUUACAACCCAGUGAGACUCCUCACUCCCUCCCUCAUGUGUGUGGGUUCCACCUGGGUGAUUGUCAGCUCCUCCCUGAUUGUUUGCACCUGGCCCUCAUCACCCGGUGUAUUUAGUCUGUGUGUUCCUGCCUCUGUUGCCAGUUCGUCUUUGAUACACCAUGUUCCUAGUGUUCCAGCAUUUACUCCUGAUAGCCUCCCUGUUACCGACCCCUGCCUGGUUAACGAGUUACGUCUCUGCCUUUUCCCUGCCGGAUACCUUGCCUGGUGAUCGACUGCCUGCCUGUGUACCGACCUUGGACCGGAACGUUUACGAACUUUGCACCUGCCUGCCUCCUGUCGGGUUCUUACACCCGUGUUUGUACUGCCAUCCAACAGUAAAGUUGGUUAACUGCA